rnacentral:rRNA from 1 species
CCCUUAGAGUUUGAUCCUGGCUCAGGAUGAACGCUAGCGACAGGCUUAACACAUGCAAGUCGAGGGGCAGCAUGAUUUGUAGCAAUACAGAUUGAUGGCGACCGGCGCACGGGUGAGUAACGCGUAUGCAACUUACCUAUCAGAGGGGGAUAGCCCGGCGAAAGUCGGAUUAAUACCCCAUAAAACAGGGGUCCCGCAUGGGAAUAUUUGUUAAAGAUUCAUCGCUGAUAGAUAGGCAUGCGUUCCAUUAGGCAGUUGGCGGGGUAACGGCCCACCAAACCGACGAUGGAUAGGGGUUCUGAGAGGAAGGUCCCCCACAUUGGUACUGAGACACGGACCAAACUCCUACGGGGGGCAGCAGUGAGGAAUAUUGGUCAAUGGCCGAGAGGCUGAGCCAGCCAAGUCGCGUGAAGGAAGAAGGAUCUAUGGUUUGUAAACUUCUUUUAUAGGGGAAUAAAGUGGAGGA